CGGUGAAGUGUUCGGAUUGCGGCGACGUGGGCGGUUCGCUGCCCGCGACGUUGUGAGAAGUCCACUGAACCUUAUCAUUUAGAGGAAGGAGAAGUCGUAACAAGGUUUCCGUAGGUGAACCUGCGGAAGGAUCAUUG
rnacentral:rRNA from 1 species